UCGAAUUAUGCAUAUAAUUGCAGUAUCGUCAAUCACGGUGCGAAUAUACAACUUUCGGGAGUGAACGGUGGCCAAGUUUGAGUGGAAAAUCAAAUAAUUUCUUAAUUUACUGAAGUUUUCUGGGGCGACUUGAACUUUGAGUUCACCGAUCGAAUCAUCAGUGCAACGACAGCUGUCAUGGAGCUAAAAAUUGUCUCGGCGGGUUCAGAGUACAAUCGAUUCAAUUGGAGCGGCAGUCUCCGUUUGGCCGAUGACGAAUGACGCCCUUAAGGCGAUUUGGGAAAUCGGCCAUUUCCGUUUUCUCCAAAACUCAUAAUGUUUCUUAAAUUUUGAUUACUGCGUGUGCUCAAGGUUUCUCGUUCCAUGAGCCGAGGAGACGUGCGCAGUUCGAUCUCACGAACGAUGAUUUACGAAGCCGCGAAUUUGGGAAGAGCCAUUAUCAGUCAGAGUUUUAGAGCGAUGAACUCAAGAUAAAAAUUUCAAGGUGUUAAAAUAUCGCUUCUCUGAUACUCUCAAAAUUACGUCAAAUACGUAACAACGAAUUUUUUCGUCUGAUUAUUUUAUAAAUUCAUUUUGGGGGAAUGAAUGUUUUGGCCGCGUGUUCGAUUUGCUGCAACAAUUGCAAAUACCAUUUUCAUCUAAAUAAGCAAUGUGAAUGAACGGUUUUUCAUUCAGGAAGGACGUGUCGUGAAUGUGAGCUUUCAAUGUAGAAAAUAUCAUUCGACGAUGUUCGAGUGAGACGAUCGACGGAGUGACGAGUUACCUGCGCUAGAAAAUUAUGAAGUAAAAUCGAAUCCAUUGGAAAGAGUACAAAUCAUUUAGAAAUUUUCGAUCCCACUUUUAUCGAAAACGUCUUUCGAUCAUUCGAUGGUUUUUUUAGAAGACGUUUCGAAAAAAACUUUAUUCCAAAAACUUUCGAGAUUCUGAGAUAUUCGAGUUUCCAAGAGUUUCGUUUUUCCGUCACGGAUAUCUGUGCACGGUAUUUACAGAGGAUUAACCAUAGAAUUGAUCGUCGAUAGAGCGCGAUAAAAGUGUCAAGCCAUAAAUCGGUACUCGCCGCGACGCGCCAGACAUUUCAGUUUGGAUCACGAUAAUCUUUCUUGCUCCCGAUGACUCGCGAUAAAGAUUUUAAUCCUGAUCAACAAUCAUUCUCAUACCGCUGUCAAGCUGAUUGGGCCAGGCGACCUUUGCCUUUAUAAUUAUUUUUGUCGACAUUUUGUUCUAAAAAAAAAAAAAAAAAAAAAAAAAAAAUAAAACGAAUGAAAGCAAAAAAAAAUACGAAUUGAAAACACGUGACAAGCCAAGUGGCCAAUCGCGCUCGUUCAGUUUGUUGAACCUCUGCCAAAAGAGCAAAAUCGGUGCCGAGAGCUCGGCUUAUGCGUAGAAUAUGUACAACGCGCUUACGGAUUGUUUGUCGUCGAAGGUGGGACGAACUGGAUGUAACCGGAUUCGCACAUCGAUGUAUACGUCUUUCGUAACAAUUUGUUCGAAAUUUUCUACUCCAAGUCUGACAAUGCCAAAAUUGGAAGCAAUUAUCUUAUCUGACAAUCUCAAGUUUCAUGCGACAAUGGGACUGUUAUAGCAAGUAUCUCAAACUACUUUUUGGUUUAAAUCAAUAAAGAUCGAGGCAUUUCAACAAAGUGUUAAGAUUUUAAUGAUAAAUAAAAAAAGCAUACGAAUUGUAA